rnacentral:rRNA from 1 species
UACGAAGGGGGCUAGCGUUGUUCGGAAUCACUGGGCGUAAAGCGCAUGUAGGCGGGCUAUUAAGUCGGAGGUGAAAUCCUGGGGCUCAACCCCAGAACUGCCUUCGAUACUGAUGGUCUUGAGUAUAGAAGAGGUUGGUGGAACUGCAAGUGUAGAGGUGAAAUUCGUAGAUAUUUGCAAGAACAUCAGUGGCGAAGGCGGCCAACUGGUCUAUUACUGACGCUGAGAUGCGAAAGCGUGGGGAGCAAACAGG